rnacentral:rRNA from 1 species
AUUGAACGCUGGCGGCAUGCCUUACACAUGCAAGUCGAACGGUAACAGGUCUUCGGAUGCUGACGAGUGGCGAACGGGUGAGUAAUACAUCGGAACGUGCCUAGUAGUGGGGGAUAACUACUCGAAAGAGUGGCUAAUACCGCAUGAGAUCUACGGAUGAAAGCAGGGGAUCGCAAGACCUUGUGCUACUAGAGCGGCCGAUGGCAGAUUAGGUAGUUGGUGGGAUAAAAGCUUACCAAGCCGACGAUCUGUAGCUGGUCUGAGAGGACGAUCAGCCACACUGUGACUGAGACACGGCCCAGACGCCUACGGGAGGCAGCAGUGGGGAAUUUUGGACAAUGGGCGCAAGCCUGAUCCAGCAAUGCCGCGUGCAGGAUGAAGGCCUUCGGGUUGUAAACUGCUUUUGUACGGAACGAAAAGCCCUGGGUUAAUACCCUGGGGUCAUGACGGUACCGUAAGAAUAAGCACCGGCUAACUACGUGCCAGCCGCCGCCGUAAAAC